UACGGGGGAUGCAAGCGUUAUCCGGAAUCAUUGGGCGUAAAGCGCCUGUAGGUUGUUUAAUAAGUCUGUUGUUAAAGACUAGGGCUUAACCCUAGAAAAGCAAUGGAAACUACUAGACUAGAGUAUGGCAGGGGUAGAGGGAAUUUCUAGUGUAGCGGUGAAAUGCGUAGAUAUUAGAAAGAACACCAGUGGCGAAAGCGCUCUACUGGACCAUUACUGACACUCAGAGGCGAAAGCUAGGGUAGCAAAAGGGAUUAGAUACCCCUGUAGUCCUAGCCGUAAACGAUGGAUACUACAUGUUGCGUUUUUAAUGCAGUAUGGUAGCUAACGCGUUAAGUAUCUCGCCUGGGGAGUACGGUCGCAAGGCUG
rnacentral:rRNA from 1 species